UCGCUAAAAACAACUUUUGACUCUCAACUGACUCAUUUAUUGGGUUUUACUUGAUUCUAAGCUCAUUCUAAGUCUUAAAGGGUGUAAAUUGGUCUAAAAUGACAUAUGAAAAUAAUUGUUUUUCAACCGUUAUUAGCAGCCAGAAGAUUGUACCUUGCCCAAGUAGGUCUCAAACUUCAGAAACCAUAAGGCCACACAAAAAGAACACAAUUUCUACCACACAAUCAUAGAGACAAAACAACAUGAAAACGAAAAAAAAAAAACAAAGCAAGCAUCAUUCAAGUACAAUUUCUUCUCCACGAAAAUUCAAUUUUGAAAAAAAAAAUACCUUGAAAGCAAAAAACACGAUGAUGCCAACCUCUGCAGGCCACGACCACGAUGACCCACCACCAUUGCCAUAAUCGCCGACUACCACGACCCACCACCCUGCCGGAAACACCACUUCAC
rnacentral:lncRNA from 1 species